GCGGCUGACUCGGGGUGCCCGUUACAGGGCUGAGACAUACCCGCAUCACCUGAUCCGGAUCAUGCCGGCGUAGGGAAGUCCAUUGGUCUUCUU
rnacentral:ncRNA from 2 species